rnacentral:lncRNA from 1 species
CAGUUCCCUUGCUGGCUUCGACUGAAUGAUUCCCCUGUGAAGUCCCUUGUUUACUGUAUUUGUAAUUAGCCACCAAGAACUUGAGUAACCGGUUUCCGAGGAGAACAUAUAUCCUGAAUCAGUUCCUGGACAUUUGUUUGAGGUCUUGUAAGGGAAACUGAAGGGAAUUGUGUAUUGAACAGGAUGGCUUAGACCUGCUCAACUUCUGAGAAUUGAGGCAAAGUGGGCAAUCCAGAUGUAUCACUUGACUUUCUGACUACUGGAAGAAUUUCCCUUCAUUAUUGCACACCAGGGGUAUCCCACAGGCUCAUAAGUGAAAAGGACUUGCCUUGUCUCAGACGAGACUUUGGACUGUGAACUUUUGGGUUAAUGCUGAAAUGAGCUUUCUCCUCACCAACUCUUCAAAGAUCCAGUUGAUACAAAAUGCACAUGCUAAAAUAUGAUUCCCCAGUCCUGUCCAAGCUGAUGUGGUCUUCUCCAAGCCCCCAGUCCUGACCAAGCUGAAUCUCCUUUGUCACUCAUGGGGCAACAGGGACUUACCUGCCAGUGCAGGAGAAAGGAGAGAUCCUUUAGAACAGGAGCUAAGAUGCCAGGAGCUCACGCAAAAUGCUUGAAGAAAGGGGCUUAGCCAGAAACCGAACUGGGAGUUGAUGCCCAGUUUAGGAAGAGUUCAAAUCGAGGAGUCAGAAGCAGCAAAUUCUACAUCAGAUCCACAAAUUCUUAACUAGAAGAAUAAAAACAAGUCAAAUCAAGUUGGGCUCAAAAGGAAUAUAGGGGCAGAAGAGGUGAUGUGCAGAUGGGUGUGCCUGGCCAAAUGGUGGGGGUAGGCACAGGCAGCACACACCAUUGAUUUCUUUGCUUCCUUUUUUAAAGAUUUUAUUUUUAAGAGCAGUUUCAGGUUCAAAGCAAAGUUAGAAGUACCAAGAUUUUUUCCAUAUACCCCUGUCCCUACAUAUGCAUAGCCCCCUCAUUAUCAAAAUCCCCUAUCAGAGUGUAAUAAAUGACAAUGAACCUACGUUGGACGCAUCAUAAUCACGUAAAGUCCUGGUGUACAUUAGCUUUCACUCUUGGUGUUGUACAUUCUAUGAAUUCGGACAAAUGUGUAAUGGCAUGUGUCCACUGUUAUGGUAUCAUACAGAGCACUUUCACUGCCACAAAAAUUUUCUGCUCUCUGCCUAUAGUUGGGGAUCAGAAACCAAUACCCCAAAAUAUGGCAUUUUGACAUGCUGAACUGAAGAAGCUUUAAUGUCUCUCUGACCUUCCUUCUUCUGCCCCACCUUCUUUCCCAAAACCUAGGAUUAUCUUGUUCCCUUAUCUGCUUAAAGUCCGAACCUGCCAAAGAAGAAAACAAUGACCUCUGCACCCUUCCCUGAGUUUCCAUUAACUGAACCUAGAUUCCAGGAAGAAAGAUUGAAGUCUGUCAACACACCUGGACAGACUUUUAUCACAAACCAUUGUCCACUCUGCUAACCCAACAGAUUUUGUCCCAGACAACUGUAUUCUCUUCAAGCCCAUUGAAUUCUCCCUAGGAAUCAUGCAUUGCCCCUCAACAGAAUUCCUCUUGUCCCUACUCACAUAGUUUGCUUUGCCGGGAUCCUAAGAUUUCUUGGAAAACCUUAGGACCAGGAGGUAUUCUUGUGGACUCAUUCUGUUUUUCUGUAACCUCAAGAUGGUGUAUAAGCUUCUGCCCCCUAAUCGGGGGUUGGAGUAAUCACUGUGUCUCCUGUGUGAAAGUAAACACAUUUGUAUGCCCUUUUCCCAAUUAAUCUACCUUCUGUGAGUUGAUUUUUUAGCGAAACUUCAGAGGGCUCUUUGACUCCUACACUAUUUAUCCCUCCCCCUCCCUUCAGCCCCUAACAACCACUGAUCUUCUUACUGCCUCCACAGUUUUACCUUUUCCAGAAGGUCAUAUAGUUGAAAUAUUACAGUCCGUUACCUUUUCAGAUUAGCUUCUGUCACUUAGUAAUAUAUAUUUAAGAUUCCUCCAUGUCUUUUCAUGGCUUGAUAGUUCAUUUCUUUUCAGUAUUAAAUGAUAUUCCAUUGUUUGAUGUACCACAAUUUAUCCCUUACCUACUGAAGGAAUACCUGGUUGUUUCCAAGAUUUACCUGGCCACCUAUGGAAUACUGUAGUUUCCAAAACUGGCCAUAAGAUAUUUCCUACUAUUCUUGCAUAUUGCAGUUGCAUAAGAAUUGCGUCCUAAGAUUUUCCAGAAAUUUGGCACUUCUCCAUCAAGACAUGGAUUCUACUUCCUCUUCCCUUAAGUCUAGGCAGAUUUGUGACUGGUAACCACAGAGCAUGGUAGAAAUUACACGGAGUGAUUUCUGAGGUUAUAAAUGAUGAAGCUCAUCUACCUCACAGGAACAUAGGCAUUGAGUCCUGAGCCACCAAGCAAGUGUCCAACUACUCUGAAACUGCCAUGUGGUGAGGAAGCCCAAACUUGAUGUGAUUUCACCUCUUCUGCCCCUAUUCCUUUUGUGCCCAACUUGAUUUGACUUGCUUUUAUUUUUCUAGUUAAGUGAAAAGAUAGCAAGGGGAAGCACUGAAGCUGCAUCGUGAGCGAGAGAUGCCCAGCCACCAGGCAGCUGCUCCACCCACCUCACCCUCAGCCUACUUUCCUCCACCCUCAACCUUGUACUUUUGUUGCUCCAACCACUGUCUGGUUACAAUCAGAGGAGAGAUUCCAAGACAGUAGCACCCAGCUAAACCCUUCCUGAAUUCGCAACUCACAAAAGUUAUAAAAGACAAUAAAAUGACUGUUCUUUAAGUUAUAUGUUUUGAAGUGAAUUAUUAUUCAGCAACAAAUAACCCAUAACAUCAUCCUUUUUUCCUCACCUCCACUUCCCAGUUUUGCCUCCAGUCUGAGUACUUAAAGUUAGGCCUACAAAUCCAGUCCUUUCCCUUCAAAGGAAACUUAUUAUAAACUGAGGCAUCCAGAAAAAGGCUGUCAUGAGGUUUUAAUGUCAUUCUCUGCUCUCUUCAUU